GAUGAAGAACGUAGCGAAAUGCGAUAAGUAAUGCGAAUUGCAGAAUUUCCGUGAGUCAUUGAAUCUUUGAACGCACAUUGCGCCCUCGGGUAUUCCCGAGGGCAUGCCUGUCCGAGCGUCAUUAUCCAACCAUCAAGCUCGGCUUGCGGUUGAGCCCCGCACCGUCCCCGGGACGGUGGGCUCGAAACAUGUUGGGCGCCCGUGAGGUUCUCGGUGCAGCGAGCUCUCGAGCACGUGCCGGGCAACCUCUCUGGGCGUCGGCCAACCCCCCAAUUUCUCAGGUUGACCUCGGAUCAGGUAGGAAUACCCGCUGAACUUAAGCAUAUCAAUAAGCGGAGGA
rnacentral:misc_RNA from 1 species